rnacentral:rRNA from 1 species
GCCAGCCCGCUCAGAAACUUAAAGGAAUUGACGGGGCCCGCACAAGCGGAGGAGCAUGUGGUUAAUUCGAUGAUACGCGAGGAACCUUACCUGGGCUCGAACGUAAGAUGACUGUAGGUGAAAGCUUACAUCUCUUCGGAGCAUUUUACGAGGUGCUGCAUGGCUGUCGUCAGCUCGUGUCGUGAGAUGUUGGGUUAAGUCCCGCAACGAGCGCAACCCUUGCCUUUAGUUGCCAGCAGUUCGGCUGGGCACUCUAAAGGGACUGCCGGUGUUAAACCGGAGGAAGGUGGGGAUGACGUCAAGUCCUCAUGGCCUUUAUGACCAGGGCUACACACGUACUACAAUGGCCGAUACAAAGGGCAGCGACACUGCGAGGUGAAGCCAAUCCCGUAAAAUCGGUCUCAGUCCGGAUUGGAGUCUGCAACUCGACUCCAUGAAGUUGGAAUCGCUAGUAAUCGUGGAUCAGCAUGCCACGGUGAAUACGUUCCCGGGCCUU